rnacentral:rRNA from 1 species
UACGGAGGAUGCAAGCGCUCUCCGGAAUUAUUGGGCGUAAAGCGUCCGCAGGUGGCUAGACAAGUCUGCUGUCAAAGACUGGAGCUCAACUCCGGGCAGGCGGUGGAAACUGUCGAGCUAGAGUACGGUAGGGGUAGAGGGAAUUCCCAGUGUAGCGGUGAAAUGCGUAGAGAUUGGGAAGAACACCAGUGGCGAAGGGGCACUACGGGGCCGUAAGUGACGUUCAGGGACGAAAGCUAGGGGAGCGAAAGGG